AACUGAUGUAGCAUAGUGGUUAGGGUGUAAGGCUGCAACGCAGGUGGCCAGGAUUUGAAUCCCCGAUCAGUUG